GGGGGUGUACUGGCUUUGACAGGUGUUUAAGGAAUAAUGGGCAGUGGUGUUGUAGACCUAAAUACUAUAAAUUCUAAAUGCAAACAAAAAAGAAUCAGCUAAUGAAUUCAACGUUGACGUUAACUUAUUAGCUAACUCAAACUCAAACCUAGCUUACGCUUUUUAAUUAAAUAUAUUUCGAGCUAGUCAAACAACCUAAACUUGUGUGGAUUGUUUGUUAUAAACAAGUUGAUUGGUAAAAUUUGCUAUUUAUUUAUCAAUUAAAUAAAAAUAGCACAAUUAGCUUUAAUUUUGUAGUUUUUAAAAAGCUAAUUGUUAUUUAAAAACUAAUAAACUGUAGACUGUUAUUUGCUGAUGCAUGUGGACCGGGGUUCGACUCCCCGCAUCUCCACCA
rnacentral:tmRNA from 1 species